GAUUGAACGCUGGCGGCAGGCCUAACACAUGCAAGUCGAACGGUAACAGGAAGCAGCUUGCUGCUUUGCUGACGAGUGGCGGACGGGUGAGUAAUGUCUGGGAAACUGCCUGAUGGAGGGGGAUAACUACUGGAAACGGUAGCUAAUACCGCAUAAUGUCGCAAGACCAAAGAGGGGGACCUUCGGGCCUCUUGCCAUCGGAUGUGCCCAGAUGGGAUUAGCUAGUAGGUGGGGUAACGGCUCACCUAGGCGACGAUCCCUAGCUGGUCUGAGAGGAUGACCAGCCACACUGGAACUGAGACACGGUCCAGACUCCUACGGGAGGCAGCAGUGGGGAAUAUUGCACAAUGGGCGCAAGCCUGAUGCAGCCAUGCCGCGUGUAUGAAGAAGGCCUUCGGGUUGUAAAGUACUUUCAGCGGGGAGGAAGGCGAUAAGGUUAAUAACCUUGUCGAUUGACGUUACCCGCAGAAGAAGCACCGGCUAACUCCGUGCCAGCAGCCGCGGUAAUACGGAGGGUGCAAGCGUUAAUCGGAAUUACUGGGCGUAAAGCGCACGCAGGCGGUCUGUCAAGUCGGAUGUGAAAUCCCCGGGCUCAACCUGGGAACUGCAUUCGAAACUGGCAGGCUAGAGUCUUGUAGAGGGGGGUAGAAUUCCAGGUGUAGCGGUGAAAUGCGUAGAGAUCUGGAGGAAUACCGGUGGCGAAAGGCGGCCCCCUGGACAAAGACUGACGCUCAGGUGCGAAAGCGUGGGGGAGCAAACAGGAUUAGAUACCCUGGUAGUCCACGCCGUAAACGAUGUCGACUUGGAGGUUGUGCCCUUGAGGCGUGGCUUCCGGAGCUAACGCGUUAAGUCGACCGCCUGGGGAGUACGGCCGCAAGGUUAAAACUCAAAUGAAUUGACGGGGGCCCGCACAAGCGGUGGAGCAUGUGGUUUAAUUCGAUGCAACGCGAAGAACCUUACCUACUCUUGACAUCCAGAGAACUUUCCAGAGAUGGAUUGGUGCCUUCGGGAACUCUGAGACAGGUGCUGCAUGGCUGUCGUCAGCUCGUGUUGUGAAAUGUUGGGUUAAGUCCCGCAACGAGCGCAACCCUUAUCCUUUGUUGCCAGCGGUUAGGCCGGGAACUCAAAGGAGACUGCCAGUGAUAAACUGGAGGAAGGUGGGGAUGACGUCAAGUCAUCAUGGCCCUUACGAGUAGGGCUACACACGUGCUACAAUGGCGCAUACAAAGAGAAGCGACCUCGCGAGAGCAAGCGGACCUCAUAAAGUGCGUCGUAGUCCGGAUUGGAGUCUGCAACUCGACUCCAUGAAGUCGGAAUCGCUAGUAAUCGUGGAUCAGAAUGCCACGGUGAAUACGUUCCCGGGCCUUGUACACACCGCC
rnacentral:rRNA from 1 species